rnacentral:sRNA from 1 species
GACGAACGCUGGCGGUGCGCCUUAUGCAUGCAAGUCGAGCGAAGCUUUUCAGUAGUUUACUACAGAAAAUGACUGAGCGGCGAACGGGUGAGUAACGCGUGAGCAAUCUACCUUAGUUACAGGGAUAUCCCGAGGAAACUCGGAUUAAUACCUGAUAUUCUUUAUUUCUCGCAUGAGAAUAAAAGGAAAGGUCAGCCGAACUAAGAUGAGCUCGCGUUCUAUCAGCUAGUUGGUGAGGUAAAAGCUUACCAAGGCUACGACGGAUAGCUGGUCUGAGAGGACGAUCAGCCACACUGGGACUGAGACACGGCCCAGACUCCUACGGGAGGCUGCAGCAAGGAAUAUUGUGCAAUGAACGAAAGUUUGACACAGCGACACCGCGUGUGGGAUGAUGGAUCUAGGUUUGUAAACCACUUUCAGGAGGGAAGAAAAUGACGGUACCUCCACAAGAAGCCCCGGCCAACUACGUGCCAGCAGCCGCGGUAAUACGUAGGGGGCGAGCGUUGUCCGGAUUUAUUGGGCUGGAUCACCUCCUUUCUAAGGAGCAUAGAACUUCAGUUCUAAGGUCAAUCGUCGGUUGUCUACAAAGACUAAUACUUUACUCAGCUGUGAAAAAGUCAAAUUGGCUUUUUGAAAAUUGUAUAGCAAGCGCAAUUGCAAAGUAUUUAUUAUAGUUCAAGCUACUAAGGGCUAUUGGUGGAUGCCUUGGCGCUGGAAGCCGAUGAAGGACGUGGAACACUGCGAAAAGCUACGGGAAGUUGUCAAACAAGCUUUGAUCCGUAGAUGU